rnacentral:rRNA from 1 species
GACGAACCUUGGCGGCGUGCUUAACACAUGCAAGUCGAACGGAAAGGCCCUGCUUUUGUGGGGUGCUCGAGUGGCGAACGGGUGAGUAACACGUGAGUAACCUGCCCUUGACUUUGGGACAACUUCAGGAAACUGGGGCUAAUACCGGAUAGGAGCUCCUGCUGCAUGGUGGGGGUUGGAAAGUUUCGGCGGUUGGGGAUGGACUCGCGGCUUAUCAGCUUGUUGGUGGGGUAGUGGCUUACCAAGGCUUUGACGGGUAGCCGGCCUGAGAGGGUGACCGGCCACAUUGGGACUGAGAUACGGCCCAGACUCCUACGGGAGGCAGCAGUGGGGAAUAUUGCACAAUGGGCGGAAGCCUGAUGCAGCAACGCCGCGUGCGGGAUGACGGCCUUCGGGUUGUAAACCGCUUUCGCCUGUGACGAAGCGUGAGUGACGGUAAUGGGUAAAGAAGCACCGGCUAACUACGUGCCAGCAGCCGCGGUGAUACGUAGGGUGCGAGCGUUGUCCGGAUUUAUUGGGCGUAAAGGGCUCGUAGGUGGUUGAUCGCGUCGGAAGUGUAAUCUUGGGGCUUAACCCUGAGCGUGCUUUCGAUACGGGUUGACUUGAGGAAGGUAGGGGAGAAUGGAAUUCCUGGUGGAGCGGUGGAAUGCGCAGAUAUCAGGAGGAACACCAGUGGCGAAGGCGGUUCUCUGGGCCUUUCCUGACGCUGAGGAGCGAAAGCGUGGGGAGCGAACAGGCUUAGAUACCCUGGUAGUCCACGCUGUAAACGGUGGGUACUAGGUGUGGGGUCCAUUCCACGGGUUCCGUGCCGUAGCUAACGCUUUAAGUACCCCGCCUGGGGAGUACGGCCGCAAGGCUAAAACUCAAAGGAAUUGACGGGGCCCCGCACAAGCGGCGGAGCAUGCGGAUUAAUUCGAUGCAACGCGUAGAACCUUGCCUGGGUUUGACAUGGAUCGGGAGUGCUCAGAGAUGGGUGUGCCUCUUUUGGGGUCGGUUCACAGGUGGUGCAUGCCUGUCGUCAGCUCGUGUCGUGAGAUGUUGGGUUAAGUCCCGCAACGAGCGCAACCCUUGUUCACUGUUGCCAGCACGUUAUGGUGGGGACUCAGUGGAGACCGCCGGGGUCAACUCGGAGGAAGGUGGGGAUGACGUCAAGUCAUCAUGCCCCUUAUGUCCAGGGCUUCACGCAUGCUACAAUGGCUGGUACAGAGAGUGGCGAGCCUGUGAGGGUGAGCGAAUCUCGGAAAGCCGGUCUCAGUUCGGAUUGGGGUCUGCAACUCGACCUCAUGAAGUCGGAGUCGCUAGUAAUCGCAGAUCAGCAACGCUGCGGUGAAUACGUUCCCGGGGCU